AUAGGAACCGUGAGAACGUUCUGUUUUCAUUGGUCAGCCUCUAAGCGGAAUCGCGCGCGAUGAAUAAUUUUUCAGUUUUUCAUAGGGCCGUCCCUUUUUUACUUCAGGUUUUCAAUUACUAAGAAUAUCAGUUGUUCUUCCGCCAUUUCUGCCAAAGGAGUAGACCAGCAGCAAGGGAAGACUUAGACUGAGAAGACCAAGUGGUUAAACAAGAUUUGGGUUUCAGCAAGGAGAUUCCGUCCGGUACAGAUGCCUACAAGUAGUUUGUUGAUUAUAAUUAUCAUGAUAACAACUACACAAUUUGCAAGCGCUAUUUUCGUGGUUGCUCUUUUGGUAUCAGAAGUCAAUGAGGAGGGGAUAUUCGGUCAGUGGGUCGUGGAAGCCUUAUAACUGCGUGUGCAGUCCAGGAACGUGCCGAAUUUUCAUGAGCGAUAUCCAUGCCUCAAUUAAACUGUUAUUGACGACUGUAAAGUAAAUGCUAGGUGGUUAAACUUUUUAUCGAUCUAUAGGUAAUAGUUGGAAAGGACAUUUUAACAAAUACUUUUGUAAAUAUUUCUUAGCUUUGUUGAAACGUAGAGCUCAACGUAAAAUGCAUUUUUUUGAAAGAAAAUUUUGCUAUAGUCGUUGAGUAGCCUAGUUCGGAAUCGAACAUCUUGAUGUAUAGAAAUUGCAUAGAAUGAAGAAUUUAAAUUGUAAACAAAGAAGUGGAAU